UGUUAAAAAUUUCAUCCAUUUGUACUAUUAAAAACUGGCGUGAUUGACAGAAUAAUCAACAAGUGGCACGUGGUGUGUUAUGUAUAUCUCAUGUUAGCAUAUAAAGAUUAGUUUUUAACAGCAGAAAUGGAUGGAAUUAUUAACA
rfam:Gossypium hirsutum cultivar TM-1 unplaced genomic scaffold scaffold587.1, whole genome shotgun sequence